GUAUAAGAGACAGCAGUCGCCGCGGGAAUACAGAGGGUGCGAGCGUUAAUCGGAUUUACUGGGCGUAAAGCGUGCGUAGGCGGCUUCUUAAGUCGGAUGUGAAAUCCCUGAGCUUAACUUAGGAAUUGCAUUCGAUACUGGGAAGCUAGAGUAUGGGAGAGGAUGGUAGAAUUCCAGGUGUAGCGGUGAAAUGCGUAGAGAUCUGGAGGAAUACCGAUGGCGAAGGCAGCCAUCUGGCCUAAUACUGACGCUGAGGUACGAAAGCAUGGGGAGCAAACAGGAUUAGAUACCCCGGUAGUCCCUGUCUCUUAUAA
rnacentral:rRNA from 1 species